rnacentral:sRNA from 1 species
UAAUAGCUUCAUUAAGAGUUUUGGGA